GGGAAGGUGGCUCAGUGGUAGAGUGCUUGCCUUGUAUGCAUGAGGCCCUGGGUUUGACUCCUCACCACCACA
rfam:Dipodomys ordii contig_45579, whole genome shotgun sequence.